rnacentral:rRNA from 1 species
AAUAUUGGACAAUGGGCGCAAGCCUGAUCCAGCCAUGCCGCGUGUGUGAAGAAGGCCUUCGGGUUGUAAAGCACUUUUGUACGGGAAGAAAGGCCAUUGGUUAAUACCCGGUGGUCCUGACGGUACCGUAAGAAUACGCACCGGCUAACUUCGUGCCAGCAGCCGCGGUAGUACGAAGGGUGCAAGCGUUACUCGGAAUUACUGGGCGUAAAGCGUGCGUAGGUGGUUUGUUAAGUCUGAUGUGAAAGCCCUGGGCUCAACCUGGGAAUGGCAUUGGAUACUGGCAGUCUAGAGUGCGGUAGAGGGUAGCGGAAUUCCCGGUGUAGCAGUGAAAUGCGUAGAUAUCGGGAGGAACAUCCGUGGCGAAGGCGGCUACCUGGACCAGCACUGACACUGAGGCACGAAAGCGUGGGGAGCAAACAGGA